rnacentral:rRNA from 1 species
UAGGACCUACGGGGGGCAGCAGUGGGGAAUAUUGGGCAAUGGGCGCAAGCCUGACCCAGCAACGCCGCGUGAAGGAAGAAGGCUUUCGGGUUGUAAACUUCUUUUCUUGGGGACGAAGAAAGUGACGGUACCCAAGGAAUAAGCCACGGCUAACUACGUGCCAGCAGCCGCGGUAAUACGUAGGUGGCAAGCGUUAUCCGGAUUUAUUGGGUGUAAAGGGUGCGUAGGCGGUUUGUCAAGUCAGCGGUAAAAAUUCCGGGCUCAACCCGGUCCCGCCGUUGAAACUGGCGAACUCGAGAGGGAGA